UACGUAGGGUGCAAGCGUUAAUCGGAAUUACUGGGCGUAAAGCGUGCGCAGGCGGUUGUGCAAGACAGAUGUGAAAUCCCCGGGCUUAACCUGGGAACUGCAUUUGUGACUGCACGGCUAGAGUGUGUCAGAGGGGGGGUAGAAUUCCACGUGUAGCAGUGAAAUGCGUAGAUAUGUGGAGGAAUACCGAUGGCGAAGGCAGCCCCCUGGGAUAACACUGACGCUCAUGCACGAAAAGC
rnacentral:rRNA from 1 species